CGUAGGGUGCAAGCGUUAAUCGGAAUUACUGGGCGUAAAGCGUGCGCAGGCGGUUUUGUAAGACUGUCGUGAAAUCCCCGGGCUCAACCUGGGAAUGGCCAUGGAAACUGGCGAACUGGAGUGUGGCAGAGGGGGGUGGAAUUCCGCGUGUAGCAGUGAAAUGCGUAGAGAUGCGGAGGAACACCGAUGGCGAAGGCAGCCCCCUGGGCUAGCACUGACGCUCAGGCACGAAAGCGUGGGGAGCAAACAGG
rnacentral:rRNA from 1 species